rnacentral:rRNA from 1 species
UCCGUAGGGUGCAAGCGUUGUCCGGAAUUAUUGGGCGUAAAGAGCUCGUAGGCGGUCUGUUGCGUCGGCUGUGAAAACCCGGGGCUCAACUCCGGGCCUGCAGCCGAUACGGGCAGACUAGAGUUCGGCAGGGGAGACUGGAAUUCCUGGUGUAGCGGUGAAAUGCGCAGAUAUCAGGAGGAACACCGGUGGCGAAGGCGGGUCUCUGGGCCGAUACUGACGCUGAGGAGCGAAAGCGUGGGGAGCAAACAGG